rnacentral:ncRNA from 2 species
GAGCAGCACAAAGCGCCUGAACUAAGCACGGACGACCCAUCGCUUAGUUGACGAGGAGGAGGUUUAUCGAUGAAUCGGCGGAUACCUCCCGGCUGUACGAUAGCAGCCGCAAGUCUUUCUUUAAAACAGCGGGGCAACCCGUUGGACAAAGAGAGGGACACUAAUCGAA